rnacentral:rRNA from 1 species
GUCCACGCCCUAAACGAUGAGUGCCAGGUGUCGGGAGGCUUAGCUUCUCGGCGCCGCAGCUAACGCCUUAAGCACUCCGCCUGGGGAGUACGGUCGCAAGACUAAAACUCAAAUGAAUUGACGGGGGCCCGCACAAGCGGUGGAGCAUGUGGUUUAAUUCGAUGCAACGCGAAGAACCUUACCUGGUCUUGACAUAGUAAGAACUUUUCCAGAGAUGGAUUGGUGCCUUCGGGAACUUACAUACAGGUGCUGCAUGGCUGUCGU